UACGAAGGGGGCUAGCGUUGCUCGGAAUCACUGGGCGUAAAGCGCACGUAGGCGGAUUGUUAAGUCAGGGGUGAAAUCCUGGAGCUCAACUCCAGAACUGCCUUUGAUACUGGCGAUCUCGAGUCCGGGAGAGGUGAGUGGAACUCCGAGUGUAGAGGUGAAAUUCGUAGAUAUUCGCAAGAACACCAGUGGCGAAGGCGGCUCACUGGGUCAUUACUGACGCUGAGGCACGAAAGCGUGGGGAGCAAACAGG
rnacentral:rRNA from 1 species